AAGGGUGUGACUUAGUGGUACAGUACAAGCUUAGCAUAGGUGAGACCCUGAGUUCAAUCCCCAGCACCCAGA
rnacentral:tRNA from 1 species